GACGAACGCUGGCGGCGUGCUUAACACGUGCAAGUCGAACGGAAAGGCCCUGCUUUUGUGGGGUGCUCGAGUGGCGAACGGGUGAGUAACACGUGAGUAACCUGCCCUUGACUUUGGGAUAACUUCAGGAAACUGGGGCUAAUACCGGAUAGGAUCUCCUGCUGCAUGGUGGGGGUUGGAAAGUUUCGGCGGUUGGGGAUGGACUCGCGGCUUAUCAGCUUGUUGGUGGGGUAGUGGCUUACCAAGGCUUUGACGGGUAGCCGGCCUGAGAGGGUGACCGGCCACAUUGGGCCUACGAUACGGCCCAGACUCCAACGGGAGGCAGCAGUGGGGAGUAUUGCACAGUGGGCGGAAGCCUGAUGCAGCGACGCCGCGUGCGGGAUAACGGCCUUCGGGUUGUAAACCGCUUUCGCAUGUAACGAAGCGUGAGUGACGGUAAUGGGUAAAGAAGCACCGGCUAACUACGUG
rnacentral:rRNA from 1 species